rnacentral:lncRNA from 1 species
UCUCACUCAUAGUUGUACAAAUUACAGGGCUUUUUUUUAAUUGUCAUAAAACAUAUACAUUAUUCAUCUAUUCAGUUUCAUCUGAAGAGAAUCCAACAAAGAAGAAAUUUUAUUUUCCAAUAAAAUAUUAAAGCUGCUUUACCCCACAAGAGACAGAGCAGAAAUUCCAUCCAUGAUCUAUGUGAAGACACUGAAGAUCAGAGAAGUUGUGUGGAAUGCCUAAGGAAGGUGUAGUAACCAGCAGUAAAUGUUAAGGCCACAUCACAUGUACUACACUGAGACAGUCACGUGGGAAAGGCUACUCGGCAAAACCCCUACAGGCCUGCACACUGGGGUGGAGCCACAGAAGUCUGCAGGGAGGAGCCUGGCCCCUCCUCUUUCUGGGUGAAACCUGGGAUUCAAUCUGCAAGGCAGGAAGCCCAGGGGCAAGAAGCACACUCUUUCGCCUUGCUGAUAGUCUCCCUUUCCCCUUGUCUUCCUUUUCACCCAAUAAAACCCUGCCUUAGUCACCCUUUAAAUUGUCUGCGAGCCU